rnacentral:rRNA from 1 species
UUGAACGCUGGCGGCAGGCCUAACACAUGCAAGUCGAACGGUAACAGGAAGAAGCUUGCUUCUUUGCUGACGAGUGGCGGACGGGUGAGUAAUGUCUGGGAAACUGCCUGAUGGAGGGGGAUAACUACUGGAAACGGUAGCUAAUACCGCAUAACGUCGCAAGACCAAAGAGGGGGACCUUCGGGCCUCUUGCCAUCGGAUGUGCCCAGAUGGGAUUAGCUAGUAGGUGGGGUAACGGCUCACCUAGGCGACGAUCCCUAGCUGGUCUGAGAGGAUGACCAGCCACACUGGAACUGAGACACGGUCCAGACUCCUACGGGAGGCAGCAGUGGGGAAUAUUGCACAAUGGGCGCAAGCCUGAUGCAGCCAUGCCGCGUGUAUGAAGAAGGCCUUCGGGUUGUAAAGUACUUUCAGCGGGGAGGAAGGGAGUAAAGUUAAUACCUUUGCUCAUUGACGUUACCCGCAGAAGAAGCACCGGCUAACUCCGUGCCAGCAGCCGCGGUAAUACGGAGGGUACAAGCGUUAAUCGGAAUUACUGGGCGUAAAGCGCACGCAGGCGGUUUGUUAAGUCAGAUGUGAAAUCCCCGGGCUCAACCUGGGAACUGCAUCUGAUACUGGCAAGCUUGAGUCUCGUAGAGGGGGGUAGAAUUCCAGGUGUAGCGGUGAAAUGCGUAGAGAUCUGGAGGAAUACCGGUGGCGAAGGCGGCCCCCUGGACGAAGACUGACGCUCAGGUGCGAAAGCGUGGGGAGCAAACAGGAUUAGAUACCCUGGUAGUCCACGCCGUAAACGAUGUCGACUUGGAGGUUGUGCCCUUGAGGCGUGGCUUCCGGAGCUAACGCGUUAAGUCGACCGCCUGGGGAGUACGGCCGCAAGGUUAAAACUCAAAUGAAUUGACGGGGGCCCGCACAAGCGGUGGAGCAUGUGGUUUAAUUCGAUGCAACGCGAAGAACCUUACCUGGUCUUGACAUCCACAGAACUUUCCAGAGAUGGAUUGGUGCCUUCGGGAACUGUGAGACAGGUGCUGCAUGGCUGUCGUCAGCUCGUGUUGUGAAAUGUUGGGUUAAGUCCCGCAACGAGCGCAACCCUUAUCCUUUGUUGCCAGCGGUCCGGCCGGGAACUCAAAGGAGACUGCCAGUGAUAAACUGGAGGAAGGUGGGGAUGACGUCAAGUCAUCAUGGCCCUUACGACCAGGGCUACACACGUGCUACAAUGGCGCAUACAAAGAGAAGCGACCUCGCGAGAGCAAGCGGACCUCAUAAAGUGCGUCGUAGUCCGGAUUGGAGUCUGCAACUCGACUCCAUGAAGUCGGAAUCGCUAGUAAUCGUGGAUCAGAAUGCCACGGUGAAUACGUUCCCGGGCCUUGUACACACCGCCCGUCACACCAUGGGAGUGGGUUGCAAAAGAAGUAGGUAGCUUAACCUUCGGGAGGGCGCUUACCACUUUGUGAUUCAUGACUGGGGUG